AGUGAACGCUGGCGGUAGGCCUAACACAUGCAAGUCGAACGGCAGCACAGUAAGAGCUUGCUCUUACGGGUGGCGAGUGGCGGACGGGUGAGGAAUACAUCGGAAUCUACUUUUUCGUGGGGGAUAACGUAGGGAAACUUACGCUAAUACCGCAUACGACCUACGGGUGAAAGCAGGGGAUCUUCGGACCUUGCGCGAUUGAAUGAGCCGAUGUCGGAUUAGCUAGUUGGCGGGGUAAAGGCCCACCAAGGCGACGAUCCGUAGCUGGUCUGAGAGGAUGAUCAGCCACACUGGAACUGAGACACGGUCCAGACUCCUACGGGAGGCCGCAGUGGGGAAUAUUGGACAAAGGGCGCAAGCCUGAUCCAGCCAUACCGCGUGGGUGAAGAAGGCCUUCGGGUUGUAAAGCCCUUUUGUUGGGAAAGAAAAGCAGCAGGUUAAUACCCCGCUGUUCUGACGGUACCCAAAGAAUAAGCACCGGCUAACUUCGUG
rnacentral:rRNA from 1 species